GCUUGUCCUGCCCUGAUUGGUUUCAGCUGUGUCUACCUGUGCUCUCCAUGAGUCUGUUGGUUUGUUUGUGUUUGCAGACUUCCUCGCAGUCCGUGUGUUUGCUUGGCUUUUGGAUUAUUCUGUGUUUGGACUUUUUUACCCAGAUUCCCUGCUGCCUUUUGUUUGCUUCUGCUCUCUUUGAGUCAUGACGUUGGAGAAGGGGAUCUCGGCCUUGAACAUCUUCCUACAGUGCAUGAGCUGCACCAGCAGCUUUUAAUCACAUGUUGUGGCCUUCGCUGGUCGAGUUUCCACGGAGAGCGAAACACUGGAGACCAUCUGUUAUCAUGAGUUACCAUCACGAUGAAGACCAUGAGACGGCAUAGAAAUCCCCAAAGCUGUUCCUUCUCCUUCUUGACCUUCAUCUCCUCCUCCUCCUCCUCCUCCACGCCUGUCAGCCUCUCCAGAUUUACCUUCGCUAUUGGAUCAAUAUAUGGCUUGGCAUAAUAAAUGAGCUCCGGGACUAAAUAAUACAUUUGGUUUUCUUGGAGGCUUUUUUGUGCUGCAGAAAAACAACAGGCUGAAACAGGAGCUCACCAACUGUUCAGAGUCACUAGCAGCCUGCCCGCCUCCCCCAUCGCCGGCUGUCUGAGACGACUCAGUGAUGUGAUCUCUCGACAGAAGCUGAAACCUCAGCUGACUUACUUUUGCACCAUGUCGUGCAUUUAACUCACUGAGAAAGAAAACACUAAAGCUCGCGGCUAAGACGGUGUGGACGACGGUACAGAAGUUUAACUGUUAGUGUUUUCAUCGGUUGCAUCAGUUAAAUCCCAAAGAUAUGUUUUCUGUGACUUUUAUACUGUCAAACAUUGUUCGCUCAGCACACAUCCUGGUCAAAACUCUUCAAUACCCAAACUUAAAGCUGCUAGGGUGAAUAUUUUAAUAUUAACCACAGAUGAAAUUACUAUGCGGGAUGUGCGAGGGACGGCUCGUGGCGAUCCCUGAGCUCUGCCCUACAGAGCGUCUUUCAGCUCCUUGUUUUGGUUUUAGUGCCUUUUAUGUUUGGCAUUAAAUGUGUUCACGGCUUCUUCUGACGCAGCCAAAAAGUUAAAUCAAAGCUGCUCUGAACGGGAGAACAUCUAAUAAUGCAAUGUGUUCAGUAUACUGUGAAUGUUGUCAUUUUAAAGCACCUGUAUUUGGGGUACAAAUAAUCACCUUUCGGAUGUGGAAG